AGAAGUUCUCAUAAUAUUUUUUAGAAAACAAUUCUGGGUGCUCCAAGGUGUUAAAUCCAUUGACUAAUACAUACGAAAAAUCAAGAAAGUCUCGUUAUUCCUAAAACCUGGCAUGUAUAUAUGAAAAUAUAUUUUUUUUAAAAACGUGAAAUUGUAUGUAAGGUUUUCCCAACUUAUUAUGGAGGUACUGAUAAAGAUUUUUUCGGCAACUUUUUGGGUGUUUUGAGGCGCCGAUCCAUGUAUUAAUAUACACGAAAAAUGAAAAAAGUCACGUAAUUCCUAAAAGUUAGCUUGUAAAUACAAAAAUAUGUUUGAAAAGAAUGGUGAUAUUGUAUAUAAUGCUUCUUCAACUCAUUAUGGAGGUCCUCUUAAAAAAAUUUCGAAAAACAAAUUACGGUGCUCUGAGGCACCAGAUUCAUGAGCUAAUAAUUAUUAAUGGAGUGAGUUGCUCCCAAGGUGUAAACAGACGCAUUUUCAAGUUCAAACGAGCUCCAAAGCGGAAAGACUGAAUUUUAUCGUUUUCGUGUGCUAUAAGUCCAUGAAUUGUUGGUGAUUUGAAAUUUCCGAAACAAAAUGUUCGAAUUUUGUUAUGGAUGUCCGUUAAGACCUUAGCAAUGGACCCAGUUCGUCCCGCGGGGAAAAUGAACGCAUUUUCAAGUUCAAACGUGCCCCAAAGCAGAAAGACCUUAGCAAUGGAUCCAGUUCGUUCGGCGGGGGAAACAGGGACAUUUUUCAAGUUCAAACGAGCUCUAAAGUAGGUGAACACAAAUUUUACCGAUUUUUAUAUGCUAUAGUCCAUGAAUUUUUUUGUGAUCCAGAACUUCAGAAAUAAAAUGACCGAAAUUUUGUA